GAGUAAAGUGCUAUGGACCAAAUGGGUUCAUCAUCCUUGUCAAAGAAAUCUGCAUACAAGUUAUUUCAAGCUUCACCCGGAUUUAUGAAUUUCAAAGUGUCUACCAAAUCUUGGGUAAUUGAAAGAUGGAACAGCUUGAAUUCAAAUCUACUUACACAGUCCCUGUGCAGAAACUUGGGGUUUUGCAAUUUUUUGAAAAGAAAGAUAGCGGAUGUUCCUUGAAUGACUCUUCUCAAAUCGCUCAAAUUUGGUAAGUGGUACCUCACCAAGGCAUAAGGAUUUGAAUAUUUGAUGCCUUCUCUUUGAUCAUCCAACCUCUAAUUAAAGGCUUAUCUGGAGUUUUGGGUAGGUAUGGUAAUAGUGGAAUCAUACUUACCCUGCAUAUAUUGUCGAGUCAAACCCAGGACCAUACUGGAGGGAGUGCGCCAUACCCUUAGAUCAGAACGUGCAUGUGUGUGGAAUUUUUGGUGGAAGUCCUAAUUCUAAAUAAUCUGGGUCACUCCUUGCCACAUGACUCUCUUUUAUUUGAAUGACAUGAGGAACUGAGAAGGAAAUGGGCGAUAAUUUUUUUAAUGGGUAUGGAUUUUCCCCGUUUGCCUUUUGGCUUUUCUCAUAUAUUUUUUUCUUCUCUUUUUUUCGAAUAGCCCAUUCCUUUGUUGCUGACAAAAGAACAAGUGGAAGAGAGCUUCAUAGUAAUUAAUGCAAGGAAUGUAACUGGAUGCGCAAUUCUCAGGGUGAGAUAUUGCCAUUUUUAUUUGGUGGAUGUAUGGGCGCAACUCUAGUGUAAGAGUUGGCGUAUUUUUGGGUGGAUGGAAAAGAACAUGUUAUGCGCAACUUCUCGGUGUGAGAGUUCGCUUUAUUUGGUGGGUGCAAGUGAAUUCUGAUCUUGGUGGCAUGAAACAUCUCUCAACAGUGGUCCAAAAAUUUGACCAAACUUAACACAGAGUAAGCAGCAUAUGUAGAAGGUUCAUCAUAAAGAGAUAUAUUUGGCCAUUGGUAGGUAAAAGCUUAAUCAUUCAAGGAAUUUGCUUUAUGAAUUUUUAACUUUGUAAAAUAAAAACCCAAGUACUUUGCAAAGACUAGCAAGCAUCAUGUAUUCUACUAUAUCACAUCCGUCAAUUACUUAGACAAAAUGGGGUCCCUUACAAAGUGUUCAUAAAUUCACAGGAAUUUUAGCGAGAAAUAAAAGGGAUGCAAAACAUUUUGAACAAAGAAGACAAGUUGAUGCGGAAUGAAGGUACAAUAUUUUAAACUUUUAUUUAUAAAACUUUUUUUAAAAAAUUUAAAAGAGGGGAGCGUUUAUACAAACUGAGUUUUCAUGAUGAUGUGCUUCUCCCCACACUUGUUUUCUUUCCUGUCUUUGAUUAGUCACAGAAAAAUAUAUACAUUCCAAAAAACAAGUGCUCACAAGAAAAGAUAUUUUCAUUGAUAACUUAAAUAGGC
rnacentral:lncRNA from 1 species